UGCAUGGCUGUCGUCAGCUCGUGUCGUGAGAUGUUGGGUUAAGUCCCGCAACGAGCGCAACCCUUGCCAUCAGUUGCUACGAAAGGGCACUCUGAUGGGACUGCCGGUGACAAACCGGAGGAAGGUGGGGAUGACGUCAAGUCCUCAUGGCCCUUAUAGGUGGGGCUACACACGUCAUACAAUGGCCGGUACAAAGGGCAGCAAACCCGCAGGGGGAGCCAAUCCAUCAAAGCCGGUCGUAGUCCGGAUCGCAGUCUGCAACUCGACUGCGUGAAGUCGGAAUCGCUAGUAAUCGCGGAUCAGCAUGCCGCGGUGAAUACGUUCUCGGGCCUU
rnacentral:rRNA from 1 species